rnacentral:rRNA from 1 species
GACGAACCGUGCGAACGUUGUUCGGAUUCACUGGGCUUAAAGGGCGCGUAGGCGGGUUGUCAAGUCAGGGGUGAAAGCCUCCAGCUCAACUGGAGAAGUGCCUUUGAUACUGAUGAUCUUGAGGGAGGUAGGGGCAUGUGGAACUUCCGGUGGAGCGGUGAAAUGCGUAGAUAUCGGAAGGAACGCCGGUGGCGAAAGCGACGUGCUGGACCUCUUCUGACGCUGAGGCGCGAAAGCUAGGGGAGCGAAUGGG